rnacentral:rRNA from 1 species
CCUACGGGGGGCAGCAGUGAGGAAUAUUGGUCAAUGGACGAGAGUCUGAACCAGCCAAGUAGCGUGAAGGAUGACUGCCCUAUGGGUUGUAAACUUCUUUUAUAAAGGAAUAAAAUGAUGCACGUGUGCCUUUUUGUAUGUACUUUAUGAAUAAGGAUCGGCUAACUCCGUGCCAGCAGCCGCGGUAAUACGGAGGAUCCGAGCGUUAUCCGGAUUUAUUGGGUUUAAAGGGAGCGUAGGUGGGUUGUUAAGUCAGUUGUGAAAGUUUGCGGCUCAACCGUAAAAUUGCAAUUGAUACUGGCAGUCUUGAGUACAGUAGAGGUAGGCGGAAUUCGUGGUGUAGCGGUGAAAUGCUUAGAUAUCACGAAGAACCCCGAUGGCGAAGGCAGCUUACUGGACUGCGACUGACACUGAGGCUCGAAAGUGUGGGUAGCAAACAGGAUUAGAUACCCGAGUAGUC